AGUGACGCAGGAAGCAAGGUCAUCAGCGGAGAUGAGCAUCGUGGAGGAGACAAUGGUGUGCAGAGGUCUCAGCAAAUAUCUGCCAGACUGAAUGGGGAAUGGUCCUGUGUUUCACUGGCUCUGACCCCAGCUCCUUUGUUUGCUGGACACAGAUCUGUGGUGCAGAAUCCUCAGUGAGCCUCUGGAUGAGCCACCCACAGUCUGUCUUUCUGGCUCUGAAGCACCUGCUACCUCAUCUCAAAAAUACCACUGGAUGGAUUAACUGGAUUCUGCAGCCCUUCUGAUAUCUUGUUAGAGAAAACAAGCGAACUAGAAAUCCACUGGCUUUAACUUUCCUUCCCAAACACAGGCCUGUCCACUGGGGAAAUCUCUCAGCUGCUGGGUUGGUAUUUCUUUUCUAACAAACCAAAACAGUUACCUUCCUCUUCCAGGCACGGUGAAGAGAAAGAUGACAACUUGGAGUGAUUGGCUUAUAUCUCUCUGAUUGUACUCCUUGGACCAGGGCUGCUAAGGGAGAUAGACCAACACAUUCCCAAUCUAGCCGGAUGCACCAGAAAGGCCAUGUGUUCAGACUCAAUUCUGCACGCCUCCCCCAGGCGGCUGCUCUGCACAGCCACAGCCUCUCUGGACACCCCCACCUGCCAGGUCCGCUGUGCUCAACUCUUCCUUCAACCCGGCUCCUCAUCUCCAGAGCAGGACCUCUUCACUGCUUCCCACACUUCCUCCCCAGAAGGAGAGAAUACACAAUAGAAAACAAAGGAGACAUAGAGAGAAAAGCGGAACUCAGCAAAGAGCAGAAAAUGUAAGCGAGGGAUCCCAGGAAAUUGCAUCUGAAGCCUGAAUCGGCGUCUCCCUCGUGGACUGUUCACCAUUCCCCAUCGCUGUCUGGGAAGGUUGUCUCCAUGGCAAUGGGGACCACCUAGUUAGUUCCCAACUCGGUCUAUCCUGGGAGACCCCGAGCAACAGUCUCUCUUCACCGUGGCUCCUGCCGGCUCCCUGACUAGCAACAGUCUCUCUUCACCGUGGCUCCUGCUGGCCCCCUGACUACUGGUCCUCAUAGGCGCUUUCCAGACACCCACACCUUCUCGACAAGCCAGUGCAAUCAGCUGCCCGAAGGAAGACACAGAGCUUCCAUUUCCAAGUUGCUCCUGCCUGUACCCCACCACCUUAUGCCAUUAAUAAUGGCGGUGCCCCACCCCAGCACACACAUCUGACAAGCACAGUUGGCCCGGGGCAAACUCGGCUUCACUGAGCAAAAUGGAAACACAAGACAAUUGCAACAGGGUCUUCCACUCGCCUCCCUUGCAAAACGCAAAGUUUCUCUCGUCUACUUUGGGAAGUCUGAGUGUUUUCUCUUACUCCAGGUUUACUUUCCCACCAUUGUCCUGCCUAGCACACCAGGAAAAUUUAGCAACAGCAGAAAUCCACCUUGGACAAAUUUUGUGAAACCUUCCUGCAAAAUCAUCAUCCCCCUCAAAACCAACCAUCCUCCAGACAGUCUUCACCAUCAGGCUAGACACAUUUCCUGUCUGGAAUAUCCACUUUUAGGCAGACUGAGGCUGGAACGAGGCAAGAGAACCGUCCAGCUCACAAAGCACAGGCCGGCAGUGGCUGCAAUGAGUGGCCGCCUUCUGGGGCUGCUGCCUCGUCACACUGAUUUUAUUUUUCUGAUGCUCUAUAAUGAAGUGUACCAAUUAAAAUA
ensembl:lncRNA novel transcript